CUUGCUGUCAACACAUUGCCGAGGACAUGUGAAUAUCUCUGUAUAUAGCGAAGGGAUUUGAAGCAAGAUUAACAAUUAGCCCCCUCGUGGAUGUCAGCCCACGAGUUCUCACGGGUUGAAGAGUGAAUAAACCCUGUUAAAAAACCUCGUGCUCAUGCUCAUUCCUUGAGGGGUGCUACACUAGCUGUCGCCGUGAGCCCCUGGCCAUAAACAUCCUCUAACUUUCAAGUUUUGGAUAAAUACAUAAGUAGAUAAAUAAAGCAAAGAGGUGUGGAAAAUAGGCUAAAGGAAUCAGGGAUGUGUAAAGACCUUAGAAUGAAAACUUAAUUCAAAAAGCUCUUUGGAGAAUGCGGGCAUCGAUCCCGCUACCUCUCGCAUGCUAAGCGAGCGCUCUACCAUUUGAGCUAAUUCCCCUUAUAAUUCACGAUAGAGACGUGAACACAUGUCAACGGAUCUGUCUCCCGUCUCCUGAUGAUUCAGCACAGAUAGGGUAGAGGAUGUGUUGGCUCACAAUUUAAUCAGUACAAUAUACUGUAUAGCCAUUUUUUACCCUUCGACAAACAGGAAGAAGGAAGCAACCCCCCAAACCACAGAUGAGACCCACAGAAGAAGAACAGCCCUGACAGAGCAGAGAGGAGCGACAUUCAGCUCAGAGUGAUCAACCACUGAUGAUGCAGUCACUCUACACACACUACACACUACACACUACACGCACACUACAACGUUUGCCCUUUCAGUGUGGACAUGAUUUAGAAAUGAGGGUUAUUCAUGUGUUUAAAAGGCGCAGUUGCUUUUGGUUAAACAUCAGAACAGACAAUCCAAGUGUUGACAGAGCGUAGAGUGGAGAGAGCAACUUCAGAAACAGCCUGAGGAGCACAAACUUCACUUUAUUCAUUCUGUAAGAGCAGAGACAGGAAGUUCCUCCGUCCCUCUGUCCCACUAGGA